GGUAGACGCUACGGACUUAAGUCCCAUUUUACAUGUUGAUCUCAGCAAUAAUUUAAAUCGUAGUAAAAAG
rnacentral:tRNA from 1 species